CCUUUACAAGUCGAUAUAUGUAGUGUUUAGGUAGCGCGUAUUCAUCAGAAAAAGGUAGUCUGUAAUCCAAUUCUAUUGCUUCCUGCUGCUGGAAUAUACAACUUUUUGGACUUCCAUGUAGUCCCAUGAAUGAUUGAAUGUGCUAGAGAGCUUGACGGUAGAAAUGAUGAGAGAUUGGAGGUUCUCAUGCAUCAAUCUACGUCAAAGUCCACGGGUCUAUUGCACGGAUGAAGCUUUUUACAAUUGCAUUUAAGCAUGAAUUGUUUGAUUAAGUUGAUAUUGGUCCCAUUAUGGUUUCAUGACUGAAUGUUAUACUAGGAGCAGUUCACUGGUAUAGUAUAGUCAUCAACUAUAGCCACCUUGAUGAAUGGUGGGACACAGACAAAAACAAACAACAAAAAAAGUUACUCAAGGAGAUCAGUGUGCUUUCCUUUGGAUAAAGGACGAAGUUAUGUGGUCAUCCGUGCCUUUCUCUUUUGUUUGUUUUGUGCUUGUGAUGAACUUGCUUUCCUUUACCUUUGGGCAUGGAAAAAGGUUAGGAACCAUUCACCAUUACCACAUGGAAAAAGGUUAGGAACCAUUCACCAUUACCACUCCUUGAUAAAGACAAACCCUUUGGUAAUCUUAUAUAGCCGAUAUUAAAAGGCUGAUUUUCCAACAACUGCUGGUUGGGAGUCAUCUUGGGUAGACGUACAGUCAAUAUCACUUACGUUCGAGCUACAAGUAUCUUGCAUGGAUUGAUCCUCUUCACAAGAUCUUAUACACAUGGAACAUAAUCAUAAAUGAGGUAGCUGGGAAGUCCUUUCAAGAAAAUCCAUCAAUCGUUAUUCUGCAGCCCCACCGUUCACUAGGUCUUGCAUAUCAGGUCUCUAGUAAUGGAGCUUUCGUCUUCAACCCCAAUUAGCAUGUCACAAGGCCAUCUGUUUCAUGGAGAAAACUUCUCAUUAGCCUCAAGGAACAGGUAACCAUCCCCAUACCUAUGAUGUUAACCUUAGCAUUAGAUAAUAUGAAUAUGUGCUAGUCCCUUCUUUUUUUUUCUUAUAACAGUGGUAUCCAUGCCAGCUUUCGCGCACUUCAACUAAUUUCACGGAAUACCAGUCACCUCCCACCAGCAACAGGUAUCUCUGUCCACCAAAGCUAGGACAUAUGAGAACCUAGUGUUUUGUCUCCGCUAGGAUUCGAACUUGAGACGUCAUGACUCUCAACCACUUUGUUGACCACUAGGCUUGCGUCACUUUUUUCUUUGUUAAAGUCUAUAAUAAGAACUACUAUAUCCAACCCCCGAAAACAACCGGUAUAUGUAAAGUACCUUUUAAAACCCCUAUUCAUUGUUGAUAGGACCAUUAUCAUUUAUGCCUGGUAGAGAGGGUUAAUCAAUAUGCACCUUAUAAAAUUUGCAAGUUGUCAUUGAAUUGAAUAUACAGGAUAUUUUAUACAGGAAUUUGCUUUCAUUUUUCCUUUUUUGUGUACAGACCACAAGUCUACAUCGAUCUGAUCUGACGGUCAUGAGUGAGUUCUUUUACAGAUACCUUGUGUCUGGAGUAAGAAUGAGCUAAGUCUUUUGUAGUCCCUUUAGAGUAAGUUUUAUUAAGACUAAUUGGGUCCAUCAAAGUUGACAGAUUAAUUGCUUGUUUUGUUUUGUCAACUUUUAGCCAAAUUAUAACAAAGAUUGAUGUCUUUUGGUAAAGUCUCCUAUACUUGAAUAUAUUUGCAUCAACAACCUAAUGUCUUUACUGUUUUGCAUCAUGUCUCUUGAAGUUCAUGAAAUCUAUAAAACAAGUAGUAGUAAUAUGGGGGUUGUGAUCACUGGUAUCCUAAACGAGAGCUGGUACAUUUUGAGACAGACGAGUGAUCGUAAUCAGACUUAAUUGGGCUUAGUGAUCAUGUAGGCACUGCAGGUAUAAAGUUCACACUUGUUUCCUUUGGCCUGAAUCGUAUAUGUAUUUAUCGUUCAAAAUACCCAAAAAUACAUAAAUAGGUUAAGUUUUGGCCCCGUCUCUACAAAGGAGUUAUGGAUGUGCUGACAUUAACGUAAAAUUCUGGAACUGCCUCUGCACAGAGGAGUACUUGAUUAUUGGUGUCAUUUGAGAAAGUAUGUUUAAUCACUGAUAAUUGGUAAGUGGUCACUUUUACAAAAGCCUAUAUAUGUUUAGAACAGUGCAAAUGACCAGUGACGGAGCCAAGAUUCAUGGGUACAGAAGACAGUAAAUUCUUUGUCGUGAAUAUUUGAACUGGUUGUUUACUAUUGGAACAGACUGAUUAAGAAAGAGGGUAAAAUGAAGGAAGAUAUUAGAUUGGAAUGUUUGUGAUUCCAACAACCAAAGAAUAUCUUCUUUGAAGAAACCAGACAAGUUCAGUUUUGAGUGCUGAGAUAAGUUCAAAUGGUCCAAGAAAUUGGCCAUAUGGGAAAGGGGAUUUCAACUUUUAGCCAUAAAUGUUGUGUCUUGUAGGUGGAUAGGUCAAAUGGGUGGUAGCUACUGUCAGUUUACUAAUAAAAGCAUUUACUCAGGCCUUCCUCUUUUGUAAAAUGGUCCCCUAGAGCCUUGAAGUUUCUGAUGAUGAAAAUGAUAUGUAACUAAAAAUUUACAGACAUUUAUACUGGGAAACUGUUGUGCUAAAACUUGGUUUUCUGAGACCAUAAGUUACUAUUUUUGUUAAUAGGUGAGAUAUGGUAAGUGUAGGAUGGCGCAGGUUUUACUAUUAUCUUGUUAGGAUAGAGAUGUUAUUUCCGAUAGACCCUCAGCUCACAAGAAAAGAUGUUAGAAGUAUGGAUGCAAUACAAGGUUAAAAUCAUAUUUUUUAUGUAUAUAUUGUAAAAGUGGUUGGCAUCAUCCACUUACCAAAGAUUUUGGCACAGAAAAGUAAUAAUUUCCAUUCAAAUGAAGACUUCCAUUGCUAAAUUGAUUUAAUUAUGCAUUUAAUCCAAAAUUUUCAAAACAUAAUCCAAACUGAUAACCAAGAAAUACACUAUUGUUAAAAGCUUUGUAGUCAAUACAACAGAAGUUUGCAGUUCCUUUUCCCCCUAAUAAUGGAGACUAGAGAGCAAGGCUUAAAGCUGUGUGGUCAAUGGAGACAAAAAUCUCUAGCUGCUAUUGUUUAUCCGUUUAAAUCUAAUGAGUUAGAGUUG